rnacentral:rRNA from 1 species
GAUGAACGCUAGCGAUAGGCUUAACACAUGCAAGUCGAGGGGCAGCAUGGUCUUAGCUUGCUAAGACUGAUGGCGACCGGCGCACGGGUGCGUAACGCGUAUGCAACUUGCCUCACAGAGGGGGAUAACCCGUCGAAAGACGGACUAAUACCGCGUACACUCUAUUUUGGGCAUCCAAGGUAGAGGAAAUGAAAUUCGCUGUGAGAUAGGCAUGCGUCCCAUUAGCUAGUUGGUGAGGUAACGGCUCACCAAGGCGACGAUGGGUAGGGGAACUGAGAGGUUGAACCCCCACACUGGUACUGAGACACGGACCAGACUCCUACGGGAGGCAGCAGUGAGGAAUAUUGGUCAAUGGGCGAGAGCCUGAACCAGCCAAGUCGCGUGAAGGAUGACUGUCUUAUGGAUUGUAAACUUCUUUUGUAGGGGAAUAAAGAGGGGCACGUGUGCCCCAGUGAAUGUACCCGACGAAUAAGCAUCGGCUAACUCCGUG